GACGAACGCUGGCGGCGUGCUUAACACAUGCAAGUCGAACGGAGUGGCGAACGGGUGAGUAACACGUGGGUGACCUGCCCUGCACUGCGGGAUAAGCACGGGAAACUGGGUCUAAUACUGGAGAGUGUGGGAUGGGCCCGCGGCCUAUCAGCUUGUUGGGGGGGUAAUGGCCUACCGAGGCGGCGACGGGUAGCCUGCCUGAGAGGGUGGACGGCCACCUUGGGACUGAGACACGGCCCAGGCUCCUACGGGGGGCAGCAGUCGGGAGUAUUGCACAGUCGGCGGAAGCCUGAUGCAGCGACGCCGCGUUGGUAAUGACGUCCUUCGGGUUAUAAACUCCUUUCACCAUCUACGCGGUAGAUGGAGAAGAAGCACCGGCUAACUACGUGCCAGCAGCCGCGGUAAUUC
rnacentral:rRNA from 1 species